AUUGAACGCUGGCGGCAUGCCUUACACAUGCAAGUCGAACGGCAGCGGACCUUCGGGUGCCGGCGAGUGGCGAACGGGUGAGUAAUGCAUCGGAACGUGCCAUUGAGUGGGGGGAUAACGUAGCGAAAGUUGCGCUAAUACCGCAUAUUCUGUGAGCAGGAAAGCAGGGGGACCGCAAGGCCUUGCGCUCUUUGAGCGGCCGAUGUCAGAUUAGCUAGUUGGUGAGGUAACGGCUUACCAAGGCGACGAUCUGUAGCGGGUCUGAGAGGAUGAUCCGCCACACUGGAACUGAGACACGGUCCAGACUCCUACGGGAGGCAGCAGUGGGGAAUUUUGGACAAUGGGGGCAACCCUGAUCCAGCCAUGCCGCGUGAGUGAAGAAGGCCUCGGUUGUAA
rnacentral:rRNA from 1 species